ACGGUAGCCGGUAAGUUGAAUUAAUAUUAUUCUUAAAUUAUUAAUGAAGCUAAAAAAAUUUUUUUAAUUCAGGUUAAACGUAUUUAAUUUCCGGUUAAAUUAGCAUUUGCAAUGACUAUAAAAAAAGCACAGGGACAAACAAUUAACGUUCCUGGAAUUAACCUGAGCGUUCAAUGUAUUUCAUUGAAAAAAACAAAAAUCACUAUUGUCACAAUAUAGGUAUCUGGAGCAUCGUAUUAAUUUUAUAAGCGUUUCGAUCCAACCAACAAAAUUUUAAUGACAUUUAUAGAAAAAAAACUAAAAAGAAUAGAAAAUUGUAAAUGUCCAGCAACGGCUCAAAACAAGUCAACAUAUUUUUAAAAUUAUAUCAAUUUUAACAAAACAAGAAAAUCGUUCCGUUAUAAUUCAAGAAAUAGAGUGAAUAUCGAAUGUUGUACAAAUCUGAACUAACAAGAAUGUAUCUUUGAAUGGGAUUUAAAAGUAUCAGCACGAGAAAACCCUUCAUCACACUUAUCAC